ensembl:lncRNA
AGAAAGACACCCUUUUAGAUGAUCUAAAGAAUCUUGGUCCUGUCCUGUUUCGUAGCUCUAGUGAGUUAUUCGAGCAAGAAGAUCAUGAAGAUCGUUCUUCUCACUCCAGACCUUCUGACAGUUUAUCUGAGAUCACUAGCGCUCAUGCCCAAGUCUGUUCUUCAGCGUCGUCCACGGCACCAAAAUCCAUCAGAGUGAAACAGUGUCCAGAGUUGCUGUGGGACGCCAUGAGCCGCAUUCGCAAACACACCGCUCCUGAUUCAGAGAGUGAGGACGAAGAGGCUGAAUUCUGGAUUCGGUGGAAAACACAGAAGAUGAUUUGAUUAAUGUGAGUGAAAAGACUGGAAUUAAAGAAGAGGGAUGUGUGCUGGAGGAAAGAUCAGGUUACUCUGGGAAUAACUUAAAGGAUGGGAUUAAAGAGCCAUCAGAAGAAGAGAGACAUCUGGGUGAAAGGAAAGAUGGUGAUGAUGAUGAUGAUGAUGAUGAUGAUGAUGAUGAUGAUGAUGAUUCACUAUCGAGCAGCAGUGUGGACAGUCAGGACACAGUUAUAGAGGGUGAAGGUGAGCUGAACUUUCUGGAAACUGACGAAGAGGAGAAGAAGAACCAGGAAUCUGCUUUAUUCAACUGUGCUCGUGACAGAAACUCCACCAUGAGGCGGAAUAAAGACUCCAACUGUGUGGAAGAGCUUUAUUGUGAUGAGUCCAGGUCAGGUCCUCAGAGAUGUGUACUCUCCACAUGGGUCCUGCCAAUCUCCAGUGGGGUGUAGUUACUCUGCUGCCUCUUCCUGAAGUCCACCACCAGCUGCUUGGUUUUGUUGAUGUUGUUGGAGUGACCGUUACCCUGGGCCAGGCCGUGGUGCCCCAGUGAGGGACAAUGGUGUUGAAGGCUGAACUCUAGUCUAUAAACAGCAGCCUUACAUAAUUCCCUAAAUCUCCUGUUGUCCGUAUGGAUUGUAUCAUAACCGACUGAUUCCUUUUAUUUCUAUUAGUUUAUGUGUGUGUUGGU